rnacentral:lncRNA from 1 species
UUUGCUAGACCGACCGAGCUCCUCCGAGGGCGGUCCUAAAUAAGAAGAGCCAUACUGAAGAAGUUUUAUUCAGGAGACAGACUGAGAAGAGAGCCAGAUUACCUCCUGGGACUUUUCAAAAAUGCCUCAUCCCAAGGAACGCCCCAAGGGUCUAGAACUGCCCAUCCCAGGUCAACUGGGAAGAAGGAAAGACAAGAAAAGAACGUACAACCUGCAAAUAAUAGUAAGGGAGUAAGUGGAAAUAUGAAAUAAAUACUGAUGCGCCUGCCCCAUCUGGUCACACAGUGCUUUGAAGAAAGGCCCUUCCUUUGGGGAAAAUGACAAAGAAUUCGGCCUUCAUCAUCAAUGCUGGAGAAUAAGACAGACCUGUUCACUUCCCCUUCGGCAUGUGACGUUUGGAACACAGAUUUACGUGAGGAGCAGGAAAAGAUCAUCUCGGGCUCCUGCUGCUGCUGUCCAGCCUCCCUGGCUCUGUGCGAAGAGUGUCCUCCCAAGGCACCUGGACGUCCCACCUUUGAGAGAGAUUUGCACACACCGUGACCCACGAGCAGGUCCUUGGGGCCAGAAGGAGCCUCCACUGUCAGCACAAGAGCAUCACCGCCAAGUCAGACAGCUUCUUGGAAAAUAAAAAGUGAAGUCGCAGAACAAAACAAAAACUCUCUCUUCAAACUGCUGUCUCUCCCUGCCGUGUGAGGACAACAGUGGAAAAGCAGCCAUCUGCAAGCCAAGAAGAAAGCUCCAACCAGAACCCAGGCAUGCUGGCACCCACAUCUCAGAUGUUUAUCUUCCAGAACU